UUCCUCGUCGAAAGCGAUGGCAUGUUCUUCGCCGUCCGCGAAACGGCGGAUGACAAUGCGCGGCAGUCCAUUCUCCCGUUCCAACCGGACGAGGAAA
rnacentral:tRNA from 1 species